rnacentral:rRNA from 1 species
UACGAAGGGGGCUAGCGUUGUUCGGAAUGACUGGGCGUAAAGGGCGCGUAGGCGGUGAACCAAGUUGGGGGUGAAAGCCCGGGGCUCAACCUCGGAAUUGCCUCCAAAACUGGUUCGCUUGAGUGUGGAAGAGGGUCGUGGAAUUCCCAGUGUAGAGGUGAAAUUCGUAGAUAUUGGGAAGAACACCAGUGGCGAAGGCGGCGACCUGGUCCAUUACUGACGCUGAGGCGCGACAGCGUGGGGAGCAAACAGG